CUCUCCCCCCCCCCCCCCCCCCCCAACCCUCCAUUGGUUCCACAAAUGCUUGAACUUCUUUGAGGUUCUAUUCUGCCACCACAGAGAGUGGUUUCCUCUUCAAUCCUCACCUUCAGCCUUGGGUCAAAUGUCUUUGUUUCCCCUACCUGGAUAACUUCUUUUAUAUCUGUCUGUAGCCUCCAAGGCUCCAAGCUGCCGGUGCAUUGAUCAUCCUGAGAGCUAAUGGUUCAAAGAUUGUUUUCCAUGGUUCUGCACUUCUGCUUCUUGAUCGCUAGACCUUCAUCUUCCCCUUUAUUUUCUUGCACCCAAGAACAAGAACCUUCAUCUUCUCCCGUGUUUUCUUGCACCCAGUUUUCCUGUUUCUCAUCCUAAAACAGAUGCCAAUAGAUUUAGAUCGUAUUCCGGAUGUAACCAUUUGAGCUCUGGGUUCUCAAAGGUCCACCAUGUCUCUUUCUAACUGCACCAUUUCCACUCUAGCCACAACUCGGGAGCGCCUCCUCUUAGAGCCCUCACAACCUUUGAUAGCCUCUCUUCCAUAUGGAUGUUCCAAAGGCACCAGAAUACUGCUGAAUGCUAGUCGUUGUGCAACAUUUGAACUACAACAAUGUAUGGGGAUUUUAUGUGUUGAGAAUUUUAUAUUGUGAUAAUUGUUAUUUUAGUUAUUUAUAAUUUUAAAAAAUAUAAAAAUUCAAGUUAGAAUUAAGGAUAUUGUAAUAUAAUUUUAUCCUGUCAGUUAAUAAAAGUCUUUACUUUAGGUCCUA